rnacentral:rRNA from 1 species
AUGCGUGCGUGCUGGCCUGUUGGGCUUCAGUUGUUUUGGGUUAUGGGCUUUUACUGGGUUGCGGAGGAGUGCCGCCGGAGGAAGUCGGCGGCGGCGGCGUUCAACCGCAAGGGCUGGCGGCAGGUCAUGGAGGGCGGCCAGCUGCCGGCGAGCAGCUCUGAGAAGAGGGAGGUAAGCUGCGGGGAGCACCGGGAGGAAGGAGAGAGUAGUCGGGAAAGGAGGACGGCGAAGCGUUUCCGUCGGGUCCGCCACCAGCAAUUGCUCGUCGGAGAGGCCGGAAUCAGUUGUCAACGUCGGUCGGGUGGAAGUUUUUUGGUCAGUGUUCGUAUGAGACAUCAACGGAUGGCCGCAUCUACUUCAACCAGGGCUGGAAGGAGUUCCUCAUUGGGACUGGUCUUGGGGUUGGCACAACUGUGCUAA